rnacentral:sRNA from 1 species
GCCAGGUGUGGUGGUACACACCUGUAAUCCCAGCUACUUGGGAGGCUGAGGCAGGAGAAUCACUUGAACCUGGGAGGCAGAGGUUGCAGUGAGCUGAGAUUGAGCCACUGCACUCUAGCCUGGGUGACAGGGUGAGACUCUGUCUCAA